rnacentral:misc_RNA from 1 species
ACGCCACCAUGCUGAACAUCCCGGGUUUGGCUGGAAUCAUCGUUUUCUACUUAGCCAUUCUGGGCAUCGGCGUCUAUGCGGCAUGGAAGCGGCGGGGCAAAGGAACCAAUUCGGACGAGGUGAUGCUCGCCGGCAGAUCCAUAGGCUCCUUCGUAGGCGUGCUGACCAUGACGGCCACAUGGGUCGGAGGAGGAUAUAUCAACGGCUCAGCAGAGAAGGUCUUUGACAUGGGCCUCAUUUGGUGCCAGGCUCCUUUUGGCUACGCGAUCUCCCUGUCCCUCGGUGGAGCCUUCUUUGCUUCCCACAUGAGAAAAGCUGGAUAUGUUACCAUGUUAGACCCACUCCAAAAUGCAUUCGGACGACGCAUGGGCGGUCUGCUGUACUUCCCUGCAUUAAUGGGUGAAACUUUUUGGUCAGCAGCCAUUCUAUCAGCUCUUGGAUCGACAUUAUCCGUAAUUCUGGAUAUUGGUAAUACUGUCUCUAUUAUUGUCAGCGCUGCCAUCGCUGUUGCAUACACGCUCUUUGGUGGCCUUUACUCUGUAGCGUACACUGAUGUGGUUCAACUUUUCUGCAUUUUCAUGGGUUUGUGGCUAACAGUGCCCUUCGCCAUCACCAACGAGGCCGUGGGUUCUCUGGCCCUCAACGAGACCGACUGGCUUGGCUCGAUCGAAGCCACGUCGCCCGAGUGGGGUCUCUGGAUCGACUACUGGCUUCUCCUCAUCUGCGGAGGCAUUCCCUGGCAGGUGUAUUUCCAACGUGUGCUCUCCGCUAGAUCACCCAAACAGGCCAAAAUCCUUUCAUACGCUGCCUCCUUUGGCUGCAUUUUGAGUGCUGUCCCUGCUUGCCUCAUCGGUGCCAUUGCUAAAGCUACAGAUUGGAGCGCGACUGAUUACCAACACACCCCAGAAGGUUAUGAGAAGAAACUGGUUCUUCCACUGGUCAUGCAGCACCUGACGCCUCCUUGGGUUGCUUUCUUGGGCCUGGGGGCAGUGAGUGCAGCCGUGAUGUCCUCAGCCGACUCCUCCGUACUCUCUGCGUCUUCGAUGUUUGCUCGAAAUAUUUACAAGAAUGUGUUCCGGCAGCAGGCUACUGAACGUGAGGUUAUCUGGGUGAUGAGAAUAGCCAUUGUUGUUGUUGCUAUUAUUGCCUCCACAAUUGCAAUUCUUAUCAACAGCAUCUACUAUCUGUUCUAUGUCAUGCUCCGUACAGGUUGGAUGUCCCAGGUAGCAUCGCGUAUCCGGCCGGCUGACCCACCAGCCAGGCUCGGCCAAGAGACUGCCUCGGCGCAAGUAUCGUCAGCGGCUAAGCGUUGCAAGCACUGCCUUGGUUGUGCUCUUGUACCGUUGGUUCAAGUUGUGUGGCGACCUGGUGUUCGUGAUCCUGUUUCCACAGCUGUUGAUGGUUGUUCACUUCAGGCAGCAUGUCAACACGUACGGGUCUUUCGUGGGCUUCUGCAUGGGCUUCAUUGUGCGUCUGCUUGGUGGAGAGCCAUAUAUUGGCGUUCCAGCAACCAUCCACUACCCAUUCUAUGAUGAGGAGCACGGACAGCAGAACUUCCCCUUCAGGACAGUGGCCAUGCUGGUGUCACUGACAAGUCUUAUCUUGGUUUCUGCCUUGACCAGGCUGCUCUUCACAAAGGGGAUAGUUCCAGAGAAGUAUGACUUCUGCCAUUGUUUCACCGACUCCCCACAUGAUGAAGGCGAAGACAAACAAGAACUCAGCCAAGAAGACACUCUUCAUGUUAAUUCCCUGAAGAAGGAACAGUCCUCACUCCAGGCAGCAGAAGGAAAACUGUACAUGCCCUCCUCAGC